rnacentral:misc_RNA from 1 species
GAUGAAGAACGUAGCGAAAUGCGAUAAGUAAUGCGAAUUGCAGAAUUCAGUGAGUCGUCGAAUCUUUGAACGCACAUUGCGCCCUGUGGUAUUCCGCAGGGCAUGCCUGUUCGAGCGUCAUUUCAACCCUCAAGCCCCGCUUGGUGUUGGGCCCCGCCCGCUGUAGCCGGCCCUAAAGACAGUGGCGGCGCCGCCUGGCCCUCAGCGUAGUACAUCUCUCGCUCCAGGGUCCGGUGGCCGCCUGCCAGAACCCCCCAACUCUGUGGUUGACCUCGGAUCAGGUAGGGAUACCCGCUGAACUUAAGCAUAUCAAUAAGCGGAGGA